GUUAAUUGCCACACACCUGUGUUUGCCACACAGAGCAUGUUUGUUGCACAGAGAGGUGAAGAGAGCUGAGAAGCACAAAUGCAGUUUGGUUCGUGUUCCUGUUACCAUUUACUACUUGUAUGAGGAGAGUUUGCACCCUUGGAAGGCGAAGCGAGUUUCACGGUGCUCGAUGGAUGAAUACAGUUUUUGCACCAGUCGAACUCUACGCUGUUUUAUUGAUGCCAAGGGCUGCUACAGUAUCCACUCAGAGGAAAAAUUGCACAACUUUCCAAAAGCUUGGUAUUCGUUUUUGUUUCCUAACGAACUGGGUGAUGUAAGAGGAGCCUUCAAAAAAAAUUCUAAAAAUUCAGGAGGCGACUUUGAUCAUCUCUGCUUAUGAAUAAAAAGUUUAGCAUUUCGAAUAAAUU